CAGCAGCCGCGGGAAUACGUAGGGUGCAAGCGUUAAUCGGAAUUACUGGGCGUAAAGCGUGCGCAGGCGGUUGGUUAAGACAGGCGUGAAAUCCCCGGGCUCAACCUGGGAAUGGCGCUUGUGACUGCAAAGCUAGAGUGCGGCAGAGGGGGAUGGAAUUCCGCGUGUAGCAGUGAAAUGCGUAGAUAUGCGGAGGAACACCGAUGGAGAAGGCAAUCCCCUGGGCCUGCACUGACGCUCAUGCACGAAAGCGUGGGGAGCAAACAGGAUUAGAUACCCCCGUAGUCCCUGUCUCUUAUAC
rnacentral:rRNA from 1 species